AUACGUAGGUGACAAGCGUUAUCCGGAUUUACUGGGCGUAAAGGGCGUGUAGGCGGUCUUGCAAGUCAGAAGUGAAAUUCCUGAGCUCAACUCGGGCGCUGCUUCUGAAACUGCAGGACUUGAGUGCUGGAGGGGAUAGCGGAAUUCCUAGUGGAGCGGUAAAAUGCGCAGAUAUUAGGAAGAACACCGGUGGCGAAGGCGGCUAUCUGGACAGUAACUGACGCUGAGGCGCGAAAGCGUGGGGAGCAAACAGGAUUAGAUACCCUGGUAGUCCACGCUGUAAACGAUGAUUACUAUGUGUGGGGGGACUGACCCCUUCCGUGCCGCAGUUAACACAAUAAGUAUUCCGCCUGGGGAGUACGGCCGCAAGGUUGAAACUCAAAUGAAUUGACGGGG
rnacentral:rRNA from 1 species